AUGGUGCACACCUGUAAUUCCAGCACUUGGAAGGCUGAGAGAGGAGGACUGCCAGUAGAUCAAGGCCAGCCUGGACUACAAAGCAAAACCUUGUCUCCAAAAAAAAAAAAAAAAAAUAAACAAAAAAAAAAAAAAAAAAAAAAAACAAGGGAAAGAGGAGCCGUUAGUCAACUAGAAAGGACAAAGAAAAACAAUAAACUAAAUUCAAAUUCUUGCAAAUAUCAGGUAAGUGCUCACAGCCUGACUCCAAACCCUGUUCCUGGCCUGUCUAGAGAAAAUCGAAGACAGGCCAGGGGCAUCACAGGCCCCUUCCUCAAGAUCUGUAAAUUCAGUCCCCAGGGCACAAGUCCAACACUUCAGAAAAUGCUGCCUCCCGCAGCCUGAGCUAGGAAAUGUCCGCAGCACAGAGAAAGGAGGAGUCUUUUCAGCCUUGCCAGCCUGUGCCAGCCUCCAGGGCCCCCACCCUUGCCCAACCUGCCAGAAUCUGUGAUCCCUUGUUGGGAUGGGACUGAAUUCCCCAGAGCUGUAGUUCGGGACCUGGCCAGCAACUGCAGUAACCACAGCUGUGUGAGAAGACAAAGCCGAGCCAUUGGAGCAGCCACACUACAAACAGAGGUGAGGUCCCAGGUGAGUCAAGCCAGGGGGAACCUCCUACCUCACCCCAAAAGUCACUGCUCCCCCGCCCUGCUUUCCCAAGCAUGCAGGACCCUGGCUCCCAGCGCUGCCUCCUCAGCCCUCGGCCUUCGCCCAAGGUUCCCUACCUCAAUAGCUGUCCUGGAACUAGGGACUCCCCCACCCAGGGCUCCAGAGAUGUGAGAUGCACCGGGGCCUGGGUGGGGCCUUGGGGCUCCCUGUUUUCCCCUUCCAGCCCCAGAGCCUCUCAAAUUCCCAGAGGUGCCCUCCAGCCGGGGAGGGUGGGGCUGCUCCUGGGAUCAUGCAGAGUCACAGCUGCUGAGUGACGGGGCUGUGGCGGCGGCCUUCCACCACUCCGGGGCUCCCCGUCCAGCCUACCUGUCCCAGCACCUGUUCCGCCCACUUGUGAUGCUCAGUAAGGGGGGGGGGGGGGCAGAUGGCCGCCAGGGGCCGCGUGCUGGCACCUGUGAGCUGGGAAUCGAGAUUCCGGAUUCCGUGUAGGGAGAUGUGAGGCGGGAGAGAAAAGGGAGUCAGAAGAGGGGACACCAAGGAGGAAGAGGGCAUCAAGAGGCAGAGGAGGAGUGUAAGCGUGGAGGGAGAGGGCCUGAGCGCCACGGGGUAGGAGCACCGACGGCGGGGGAGGGCGGGGGGGAGAGACCUUACCGACAGAGCCAGGGCUCUCUCCAGCCGCGCCUGCCUCCUGGUCUCCCAGCCUUCAGUCCCACCCCAAGAGCCCUCGGGGUCUCGCGGAAGGCGGCUGCGCUGGGGGAAAGUCCCGGGCAGAGGCAGGGUGGCCAAGGCGCGGUGCGGGUGCUGGCGGGGCUGGAAGGGGCUGGAAGGGAGCGGUGGGUCCAGAGCGCAAACUCGGGGCUGGAAGUCACCAGCAUCUUCUCCUCUGGCUGCCAGCUCCUGUCCUACCCGAGAGGAACCUGGAGAGCUGGGUCCGGAAGCGGCCGGGGGCCUUGGACCCUAAACGUCAAGGCUGGGGGUACUGGCAGGGGCAGUGCCCACCGACUCGGGCCUCGCCACUGGAGCCGCCUGAGGGACUGCGUUUGGCCCCAACGUACCUGGGCCUCCGGAAUGGGCCCCAG
rnacentral:lncRNA from 1 species